UUGGAGGGCAAGUCUGGUGCCAGCAGCCGCGGUAAUUCCAGCUCCAAUAGCGUAUAUUAAAGUUGUUGCAGUUAAAAAGCUCGUAGUUGAAUUUCGGGAUUAAUUUAUUGGUCGUGCUAUUGUACGUACUGGUAUUAUUGAUUCCUACCUUCUGACGAACCAUGAUGUCAUUAAUUUGGUGUCAUGGGGAAUCAGGACUGUUACUUUGAAAAAAUUAGAGUGUUUAAAGCAGGCUCACGCUUGAAUACAUUAGCAUGGAAUAACGAAAUAGGACGUUUGAUUCUAUUUUGUUGGUUUCUAGGAUCGACGUAAAGAUUAAUAGGGAUAGUUGGGGGCAUUAGUAUUCAAUUGUCAGAGGUGAAAUUCUUGGAUUUAUUGAAGACUAACUACUGCGAAAGCAUUUGCCAAGGAUGUUUUCAUUAAUCAAGAACGAAAGUUAGGGGAUCGAAGACGAUCAGAUACCGUCGUAGUCUUAACCAUAAACUAUGCCGACUAGGGAUCGGAUGAUGUUAAUUUUAUAAUGACUCAUUCGGCGCCUUACGGGAAA
rnacentral:rRNA from 1 species